GGAGCCCAAGCGAGCUUUCGCCUAGAUCGUGAAUGCUUAGCGAUUGCUUCUGUCUGUAGUGUAGGUAUGGCUCCCGCUAGGAAACCGAGAGGCGGCGGUAACCCGGGUCGGGGUCUCGCUCUGUGCUGACCGCGACCCAGGGCCGAGUGGGCUAUGGGGGAUCCUGGCUCCCUGGUCACGGAAGGCCGCGCUGAUGACCGGAGCUGGUGCUUGCGGCGUGUGGGGAUGAACGCCGAGUGGCUGCUGCUGGAGGAUGGAAACGAGGUGACUGUAGGGCGAGGAUUUGGUGUCACAUACCAGUUGGUAUCAAAAAUCUGCCCUCUGAUGAUUUCCCGAAACCACUGUAUUUUGAAGCAGAAUGCUGAGGGCCAAUGGACAAUUAUGGACAACAAGAGUCUGAAUGGUGUUUGGCUGAACAGAGAACGUCUAGAACCUUUAAAGGUCUAUUCUAUCCAUAAUGGAGAUCACAUCCAGCUUGGGGUGCCUCUGGAAAAUAAGGAGAAUGCAGAGUAUGAAUAUGAAGUUACUGAAGAAGACUGGGAGAGGAUUUAUCCUUGUCUUUCCCCAAAAAGUGACCAGAUGAUGGAAAAAAAUAAGGGCUUGAGAGCUAAAAGGAAAUUUAGUUUGAAUGAAUUAGAGGGUUCUGGAGCUGAAGGCCCCUCAAAUUUGAAAUCCAAAAUAAGUAAAGUGUCUUGUGAACCUGGUCAGCCAGUGAAGUCACAUGGGAAAGGUGAAGUGGCUAGUCAACCCUCUGAAUAUUUGGAUCCUAAGUUGACUUCUCUUCAGCUAAGUGGGAAGACCACAGGGGCUCAUGUUGACCCAGGCCCUGCAAAAGUUGUAGAGCUUCAUUAUAAGAAGCAGAAAGCCUCAAAUCCUUCAGCAUCUCAGAGCCGCUUAGAGCUGUUUAAGGUAACGAUGUCCAGGAUUCUAAAGCUGAAAACACAGUUGCAGGAAAAGCAGGUAGCUGUUCUGAAUGUGAAAAAGCAGACCCAAAAAGGGAACUCAAAGAAAAUUGUGAAAAUGGAGCAGGAACUGCAGGAUUUACAGUCCCAGCUGUGUGAAGAGCAGGCCCAACAGCAGGCCAGAGUGGAGCAGCUGGAGAAGACUUUCCAGGAAGAGCAGCAGCAUCUCCAGCGUUUGGAGAAAGAACAAGGAGAAGAGGACCUGAAGCAACAGCUGGCCCAGACUCUGCAGGAGCAUCGGGCUCUGAUGGAAGAGCUAAAUCGCAGCAAGAAGGACUUUGAAGCAAUCAUUCAAGCCAAGAACAAAGAAUUGGAGCAGACCAAGGAAGAGAAGGCGAAGGUGCAAGCACAGAAGGAGGAAGUUCUUAGCCAUGUGAAUGACGUGCUAGAGAAUGAGCUCCAGUGUAUUAUUUGUUCAGAAUACUUCAUUGAGGCUGUCACCUUGAACUGUGCACAUAGUUUCUGCUCCUACUGUAUCAGUGAGUGGAUGAAGCGGAAGAUAGAAUGCCCCAUUUGUCGGAAGGACAUCAAGUCGAAAACCCACUCCCUGGUUCUAGACAAUUGCAUUAAUAAGAUGGUAGAUAAUCUGAGCUCGGAAGUGAAAGAACGACGAAUUGUCCUCAUCAGGGAACGAAAAGCAAAGAGACUGUCCUGAAGACCGUGCUCCAAGGACAUUUGAAAAACUGCCAGGCGGUGGGAACUUGGGAUGGUCUGAAGGAUUCUCUAUGGACAGGCGUGGGGCCACUCUGAGACAGAGCAUGGGAUAGAGCCACGUGGGACAGAGACUGAGUUAGGAAGUCCUCCGUCUCGACCCUCCCAUGUUGGCCAUCCCUGCUGCCACCAUUGUCUGAAGCACCGACUGCUUCAGAGUACUUAAGAGACUCUGCUUCACUACAUUGAACAGCUCCCAGACAGUCUCACAAGUAAACACUGGCAGCUCAUAAAUUGCAACCAAGAAAGUGACUCUAUCCGAUGAUAGACUCAAGUGCAUGUCAGCCUAAGAAGCCAAGGCCAAGAUCAUGGCCGUAGCAGAUGGGCUCUGUUAAGCCCCCAACUGGUAUGUCUCCUUUUCAUUCCAGAGAUGAGUCACUGCUACCUGGUUUUGGGAUGGAGUGAAUUCCCUUCUUUCAGCUGGGGUUCUGAAGUGGUUUCCAAAUCUAUUUUACCCAAUGUCAGCAAACAUGGGCAGUGAUUUUAUGAGAACUUGAUAUGCUUUUUAAAAAAAAUUAAAAGUGAUUUCUCUUUUACUGCUUUCCCAUUUUAAACAAAGAAAACUAGUUUGAUGUUUGGGAAAUAGGAGCUUAGGAAAAUCUGUGGUAUCCUUGGUUACCAGUGAUGAGAGUGAAGGAAAACACAGGAAGUUGAAGAGUAGUUAUUUAAAAUGAGGAGCUCUAGUAGGAAACUGGUUGUGCUUUAUGUCAUUCAAUGAUUUGCUUCCAGAUGGAAAGGUAUUUUCUUCUCCCUUUUUACUGCCUACCUAGAGAACAGUUCUCUGUAGUUCUUUAUUUAUACCCCAUGUGUUUCAUAGGGAUGGUAGGUUUUUCCUUUGUUGAAUCCUGUGUGUAUUGGGAUUCUGGCGUCCCUAGUCUUCAUUUUCAUCUUUCUCAGUGGGAUUACUGAUUGAAAUACUGGUGUAGUCAAGGAAGAAGUUAAGUUAAACAUAGAAAAUAAUACUUUAAAAAUAGCCAUUAUAACCAAAUCAAAAAAUUCUGGAGAAACAGAGAAAAGAAGGAAAAGAUUAUUACAUCUUGAUGUAACAGUCUCCUGUUUCCCCUAUACAUAUGUUUUGUUUAUAGGUUGCAUGGGAUAUAUAAAUUUUUAGAAGAGUACAGAUAUACCUUUUUUUUUUUUUAAAGAAAGGAAAGGUGCUUUAAUAAGAAAAGUCGGCAAUCUAGGGAGAUGGUGGACUCGUGUCCAGAGACCAACUCCAAAGAUUCUGCUCAGCCAUGACAGUUUGUUUGUUUUUGUUUUUUAAUUUUUUAAAUUGAAGUACAGUUGAUUUACAAUGUCGUUAAUUUCUGUUAUACAGCAAAGUGAUUCAGUUAUACAUAUAUAUAUUCUU